UGAACGCUGGCGGCAGGCCUAACACAUGCAAGUCGAGCGAGAUGAGAAGAGCUUGCUCUUCGAUUCAGCCGGCGGACGGGUGAGUAAUGCCUAGGAAUCUGCCUGGUAGUGGGGGACAACGUUUCGAAAGGAACGCUAAUACCGCAUACGUCCUACGGGAGAAAGCACGGGACCUUCGGGCCUUGCGCUAUCAGAUGAGCCUAGGUCGGAUUAGCUAGUUGGUGAGGUAAUGGCUCACCAAGGCGACGAUCCGUAACUGGUCUGAGAGGAUGACCAGUCACGCUGGAACUGAGACACUGUCCAGACUCCUACGGGAGGCAGCAUUGGGGAAUAUCGGGCAAUGGGCGAGAGCCUGAUCCAGCCAUGCCGCGUGUGUGAAGAAGGUCUUCGGAUCGUAAAGCACUCUAACGUUGGGAGGAAGGGCAUUAACCUAAUACGUUAGUGUUUUGACGUUACCGACAGAAUAAGCACCGGCUAACUCUGUGCCAGCAGCCGCGGUAAUACAGAGGGUGCAAGCGUUAAUCGGAAUUAUUGGGCGUAAAGCGCGCGUAGGCGGUUUUUUAAGUCUGAUGUGAAAGCCCACGGCUCAACCGUGGAGGGUCAUUGGAAACUGGAAAACUUGAGUGCAGAAGAGGAAAGUGGAAUUCCAUGUGUAGCGGCGAAAUGCGCAGAGAUAUGGAGGUACACCAGUGGCGAAGGCGACUUUCUGGU
rnacentral:rRNA from 1 species